AUUGAACGCUGGCGGCAUGCUUUACACAUGCAAGUCGAACGGCAGCACGGGCUUCGGCCUGGUGGCGAGUGGCGAACGGGUGAGUAAUAUAUCGGAACGUACCCAGAAGUGCGGGAUAACGUAGCGAAAGUUACGCUAAUACCGCAUACGAUCUAUGGAUGAAAGCAGGGGACCGCAAGGCCUUGUGCUCCUGGAGCGGCCGAUAUCUGAUUAGCUAGUUGGUGAGGUAAAGGCUCACCAAGGCGACGAUCAGUAGCUGGUCUGAGAGGACGACCAGCCACACUGGAACUGAGACGCGGUCCAGACUCCUACGGGAGGCAGCAGUGGGGAAUUUUGGACAAUGGGCGCAAGCCUGAUCCAGCAAUGCCGCGUGAGUGAAGAAGGCCUUCGGGUUGUAAAGCUCUUUUGUCAGGGAAGAAACGGUAGAGGCUAAUAUCCUUUGCUAAUGACGGUACCUGAAGAAUAAGCACCGGCUAACUACGUG
rnacentral:rRNA from 1 species